AGCCUUGAGGUGUUUUUACAUAUAAGAUUGCAAAUCUUAAGAAGAGGGUUAGUCACCCUCCGGGGCUU
rnacentral:tRNA from 1 species